rnacentral:pre_miRNA from 1 species
UACAAUGUUUUGACUCUUCAUCUUAUUUAAAUUUUUUUUACGAUUAAUAUUUUUUUUGUUACUAGAAAUAGAAAUAUGAAUAGUACUUUAUGCGUGACUAAUUUUUUUAGUUUUUUUAUAAAUUUUUCAAAUAAGAUGAAUGGUCAAACGUUGGACACGGAAAAAC